rnacentral:lncRNA from 1 species
UGGAUUUGGAUGGUAGGGUGGUGGUGGAUACAUAGGAUACUGUGGGUAUGGUGGGUAAUAUGGUGGGUAUGGCAUCUGUGUGGGGUAAGGGCUAAAACUAGGGUAAUCCGAUGUACCUCCCAUCGAAUACCCGGGAUUCUGUGAGAAAGGUGGGUAAUGAGGUGGCUGAACAAAACCCGAGGCCUGAGUGCCUCCUUGGGACUCUCCCAUACCUUCCUCUGACAUACUCAUCCCCAAACUGCCAUCCCUCCUCUG